GGGUAGAAAGUCUGAUGGAGCACGCCGCGUGAGUGAAGAAGGGUUUCGGCUCGUAAAACUCUGUUGUUAAAGAAGAACAUAUCUGAGAGUAACUGUUCAGGUAUUGACGGUAUUUAACCAGAAAGCCACGGCUAACUACGUGCCAGCAGCCGCGGUAAUAUA
rnacentral:rRNA from 1 species